GAAAACUGCUUAUCGGCGGACUGGGCUGUAUUCGUCUUUCGCUGGAGGAACUGCUCGGUGGUCAGCUCUGCGUGUCCGACUAUUUGGUGGGUUUUCACUGACUCCUUUACAUCAAUGUGGAAAUGUUUCACAUUGUCAUAUUAGCUUCCACAAAUGAAGUGGAAGUUGUUCCAGCAAAUUGGUUUAAAAAA